rnacentral:rRNA from 1 species
CCAGACUCCUACGGGAGGCAGCAGUGGGGAAUAUUGGGCAAUGGGCGCAAGCCUGACCCAGCAACGCCGCGUGAAGGAAGAAGGCUUUCGGGUUGUAAACUUCUUUUAAGAGGGAAGAGUAGAAGACGGUACCUCUUGAAUAAGCCACGGCUAACUACGUGCCAGCAGCCGCGGUAAUACGUAGGUGGCAAGCGUUGUCCGGAUUUACUGGGUGUAAAGGGCGUGUAGCCGGGCCGGCAAGUCAGAUGUGAAAUCCCAGGGCUCAACCUUGGAACUGCAUUUGAAACUGUUGGUCUUGAGUAUCGGAGAGGCAGGCGGAAUUCCUAGUGUAGCGGUGAAAUGCGUAGAUAUUAGGAGGAACACCAGUGGCGAAGGCGGUCUGCUGGACAGCAACUGACGGUGAGGCGCGAAAGCGUGGGGAGCAAACAGGAUUAGAUACCCUUGUACA